AACCCAUGGUGAGGGCAUCUUCUUAAAAUGUCCUUGUAUUUCUCUCAUGCAUCAUAGAGUAUUUCUAAAUCCAUCUACACAAAAAAAAGAGAUAUCAUUAUGCAAUU
rnacentral:snoRNA from 1 species